CGACAGAGAGAUGCUGCUGCUGUUUGAGACGCCCUUCGGCUUCGCGCUUUUCAAUUUUCAUGCCACGCUCAUCGAACAACCUAAUGCCAUGGAGAAAAUAUGGACUCACUUCACUUGCGGGGCCGAGGCAAAGAAGGUUGUUUGGCUGAGAGAGUUUCGAACUCUGAGGACAAUUCCAGCGCCAUUAAUCAAGACACCGGUGUUAACCAAAGUCUUGCUCAGAUGAUCCUCAAGUACCACUGCCCUGGGCAGAGGAUGGCUGUUGCAAAGCCUGAAUAUAAAAAAAUCAUUGAAGACAGAUUGGUGAGUGAUGAGCCAGCUCCUCCUGUUUUUUUUUUCUAACAACUUUUAUCACCAUGCAUGUUUUGCUGUGACUCCUUCUUUCAGAAAAUAUCCUGCCUGUAUGAUCCAACUGUGAUGGAGUUAAUGUGGGGCGUAGAGUUUUGCUUUGUAAGUUUUGUGCCUAGCGCAGAUUGGUAUCUGACUGAUGAUGAACUGCUCCCAGUUAGUCAAGGACU